UCUUCACAAUGGCAGCAGGAGAGAGACACAGAGAGAGAGAGAGCACAAAGGGAAUAUCGAGAGGACAUUCAAAUAGAGAGGAAUUGUUACCUUACCCCUCAUGCAAGCCUGAACCUGAAGAGCACUCCUUUGGUGGUGAUGCAGUCGCCCUGAAGUGUUCCAGAAAGAUCGUUUACAGAGUAGAAUGCCCUGAGAGCUAUUCUACCGUGUAUGCUGCUGCUCCUCUGGGUCUAGCCAUACAGUGGGGCUGCUACACUUCAUGUGGAUGCUCCGGAAUGUCUGCAAGGGAUCCAGUGAUGUUACCUGUCCUCAAGUCUGUUUAUAGUUACACCCAUGCUGAGGUCCCAUGAGAGAAUUCCCGGCUGUGUCUGUAGUGAUGAAUGAGUGGGAAAAGAAGUCCCCUUCUCCCAGA
rnacentral:lncRNA from 1 species